rnacentral:rRNA from 1 species
GACAGAGGGUGCAAACGUUGUUCGGAAUUACUGGGCGUAAAGCGCACGUAGGUGGCUUGGCAAGUCGGGUGUGAAAUCCCCGGGCUCAACCUGGGAACUGCAUCCGAGACUGCCUUGCUAGAGUAUGGGAGAGGGAAGUGGAAUUUCCGGUGUAGCGGUGAAAUGCGUAGAUAUCGGAAGGAACAUCAGUGGCGAAGGCGACUUCCUGGACCAAUACUGACACUCAGGUGCGAAAGCGUGGGGAGCAAACAGG